GAUCCUUGGCCCUAACCUAGAUAGUUAGCCCACCCCAACUAUCCGCCAGAGAACUACUAGCAACAGCUUAAAACUCAAAGGACUUGGCGGUGCUUUAUAUCCCUCUAGAGGAGCCUGUUCUAUAAUCGAUAAACCCCGAUAAACCUCACCAUCUCUUGUUAAUUCAGCCUAUAUACCGCCAUCUUCAGCAAACCCUAAAAAGGAAGAAAAGUAAGCACAAGUGUCUUAACACAAAAAAGUUAGGUCAAGGUGUAGCCUAUGAGAUGGGAAGCAAUGGGCUACAUUUUCUACAACUAGAACAUCCACGAAAAUCCUUAUGAAAUUAAGUAUUCAAGGAGGAUUUAGUAGUAAAUUUGAGAAUAGAGAGCUCAAUUGAAUCGGGCCAUGAAGCACGCACACACGCCCGAGCUCACACUACAUGGGGGGGGGGGGGGGGAAAAGGGGGGGUCUUAGAGUUCAAGCGGAGCAGAGUUCAGAGGGAA
rnacentral:rRNA from 1 species